UACGGAGGUGGCAAGCGUUGUUCGGAAUUACUGGGCGUAAAGCGUGCGCAGGCGGUUCGCCAAGUCAGGUGUGAAAUCCCCGGGCUUAACCUGGGAAUUGCGCUUGAAACUAGCGGGCUUGAGUGUGGCAGAGGGGGGUGGAAUUCCACGUGUAGCAGUGAAAUGCGUAGAGAUGUGGAGGAACACCGAUGGCGAAGGCAGCCCCCUGGGUCAACACUGACGCUCAUGCACGAAAGCGUGGGGAGCAAACAGG
rnacentral:rRNA from 1 species